rnacentral:misc_RNA from 1 species
GGAGGUUGCAAUAUCUGGCCUUUCUUGCAUAUGCAUCCACCGGUUCCCCAACCAUUCUUGAGAAUGCCUCAAAUUGUCCGAGCCAAAUACCAAUUCAUGCUUUUCACCUGGCAAGUAAACUCGCAACUUGUCUUCAGAUUCCUUCUGAACUAUAAUUCCUUCCCACCAACCGUCAUGCCACCAUACAUCGACAAUGGUUCCAACAUUGUACACCAAGGCAGCUUUGCUACCCUUACUGGGCUGUGGACGAAUAACCAAUCUUCCAUUGAUGCGUAGACCCAACUGAUCAGAAGCUGCAACUCUUGAUGCUGAAAGCCAUUCCACAAGCUUGCUAGAUUCAUCGUCAGCGUCCUGAAGAUUGUGAUAUUGUACCUUGACCUUGUCUCCACGCUUCUUGAUUAUUGAAGCUCUG